rnacentral:rRNA from 1 species
UACGUAGGUCCCGAGCGUUAUCCGGAUUUAUUGGGCGUAAAGCGAGCGCAGGCGGUUGGAUAAGUCUGAAGUUAAAGGCUGUGGCUCAACCAUAGUAUGCUUUGGAAACUGUUCAACUUGAGUGCAGAAGGGGAGAGUGGAGUUCCAUGUGUAGCGGUGGAAUGCGUAGAUAUAUGGAGGAACACCGGUGGCGAAAGCGGCUCUCUGGUCUGUAACUGACGCUGAGGCUCGAAAGCGUGGGUAGCGAACAGG